rnacentral:lncRNA from 1 species
AUUGAAGAUCACAUAAAAUUUCUUUCCUGCCAUUGAAGUAUUUACACCAACCAAUGGUUGAUUUUCUUCUUUUGUUAGAAAGAUCGUCCCUCGGGACUUGACUUGAAGCAUUUGGAGUUUCAGAUUGAUUGCAGCUUACAGUGAUGUAUCAACUCGACAUGGUCGAGUUUUUCUCCCACCCCGGGAGAGUUUUUGAGGACGUCAUCUAUUUUAUUUAUUUCUAUUUAUUUUUCGUUGGACUUUGUUUUAGUUUUGGAUUCUUAUUUAUGUAAUUGAGCUUGUAUCGGCUCAAACCUGUUUUAGUUAAGUUUUUCUCUUUACUAUUUAAACCUAAUUUCCUAUGUAACUUCAUUAGUUCUGAUGAAUGUGAAUUAUUGAGAUUGGUUGUGGCGUCUCCUUUCUCUCCCUUCUCUUUUUCCCCUGAAUUUCUACUACUUCUUUUGUUUCUUCCCCCAUUCUCUCCGAUUUCUCUCCCUUUCUUGCUACCUUCUUCUUUAUCCUGCAUCACUAGGUCAUGAUUAGACCCUUUGCUAACGUAUUAUGCUUACCCUUAGUAUCAAAAGAUGUUGAAUUUGUGUCAUGAUCUAGGAUAAGUAUUUAGGGCUUUAUUUGGGAUCUUAGAUAAAAUUAUUCUGUGUAUUAGAACAGAGAUAAUAUUUAGUGCUUGUUUAUCCAUUUUUUGAGACAAACAAGGAG